AAUAGAUACCCGGGUAGUCCACGCUGUAAACGGUGGGUACUAGGUGUGGGGUCCAUUCCACGGGUUCCGCGCCGUAGCUAACGCUUUAAGUACCCCGCCUGGGAGUACGGCCGCAAGGCUAAAACUCAAAGGAAUUGACGGGGCCCCGCACAAGCGGCGGAGCAUGCGGAUUAAUUCGAUGCAACGCGUAGAACCUUACCUGGGUUUGACAUGGAUCGGGAGUGCUCAGAGAUGGGUGUGCCUCUUUUGGGGUCGGUUCACAGGUGGUGCAUGGCUGUCGUCAGCUCGUGUCGUGAGAUGUUGGGUUAAGUCCCGCAACGAGCGCAACCCUUGUUCACUGUUGCCAGCACGUUAUGGUGGGGACCCAGUGGAGACCGCCGGGGUCAACUCGGAGGAAGGUGGGGAUGACGUCAAGUCAUCAUGCCCCUUAUGUCCAGGGCUUCACGCAUGCUACAAUGGCUGGUACAGAGAGUGGCGAGCCUGUGAGGGUGAGCGAAUCUCGGAAAGCCGGUNUCAGUUCGGAUUGGGGU
rnacentral:rRNA from 1 species